rnacentral:piRNA from 1 species
AGAGCAGUGUUGCUGUAGACAUCCACGUUC